UGGUAUUAGUAAUUGUAGUGGUGUUUAAAUUGGUUCAAUCUGAAUUUCUGAAUGAAAUCCCUGAUAGUGGAUCAAGAAAUAUUCAGUAUGAAAUGGGAGUCAUCAAUUUUCCUAGAAGACAUGCACGUUCACUG